rnacentral:rRNA from 1 species
UACGUAGGGGGCUAGCGUUGUCCGGAAUCAUUGGGCGUAAAGCGCGCGUAGGCGGCCCGGUAAGUCCGUUGUGAAAGUCAAAGGCUCAACCUUUGAAAGCCGAUGGAUACUGCCGGGCUGGAGUCCGGAAGAGGCGAGUGGAAUUCCUGGUGUAGCGGUGAAAUGCGCAGAUAUCAGGAGGAACACCAAUGGCGAAGGCAGCUCGCUGGAACGGUACUGACGCUGAGGCGCGAAAGCGUGGGGAGCAAACAGG